rnacentral:tRNA from 1 species
GGCGACGUAGCUCAGCUGGUCAGAGCAUGCGGCUCAUAUCCGCAGAGUCCGGGGUUCAAGUCCCUGCGUCGCUACCA